UUGCAUCCGCUGAUAGACCUGAAGCAGGUGUCGUUGGCUUCUGGGUUUGCAUAGAGAUGCUAAACUGAACCUUCCUCGUGCUUUCUGGCUGCUAAGUUCUAUAGCAGCACAGAUUGUAUUGAGGAAUACAGGA